GUAAAAGCUACAGCAGUACAUAUUCUAAAAUUGGAACAAUCCAGAGAAGAUUAGCAUGGCCCCUGCACAUGGAUGACUCACAAAUUCGUGAAGCAUUCCAUAUAUUU